rnacentral:ncRNA from 1 species
AGUUGUCAAAGGCAAAAUCGUCGAAAGGCGAUGACGCAAAGCCACGGAUCUACUGUCUAAUAAAGACCAUGACCGCCGGGCUACCACC